AAGAUGAUACAAUUGUGCAAGUAUCCUUUGGUCUCUGCUCUCCCUGGAUAAGGGGAGAUACAGAGUCCCAACAAUCAUAUCCUUCUCCAGAAAGAGUCAUAGCAUCCACCUCUAGUAGAUGUGAAUUACUCCUCAAAUUUUGUUACAGUUUUACCUGGAGAUAAAACUGAAGACUAAGUUGUAAUAGAACCACCAUCUAAUUCAUCUUACAUAGUGGAUAUGCCAGUCUGAAGGUGUGCCAUUUGUCCCCAGUUGACUGGGUUUCUUUACUAUUGGGCUUAUCUGAAUUUUUAUUUAUGAAGGAUCUGAAUCCUCAGAAACCUGCAUGGACAUUAAUUUCCCCAGCCCAAGAAGCCAUCUCUUUCUUUGUGUUGGUUCAGUGCCAUAAGGAGUUCAAAGUGGCCAAGUGAAAGUUGUAUUUCUUCCUUGAGUUCUAACCAUCUGUAAAUCAAGCCCCAGUUUUUCUUUCUGAGUCAUAGGAACUCCCUUGGAUUGAGGGAAAGGAAACAAUGAAGCAGGAGUAGGUGUCAAAGAAGGCCAUUGAAGGACAAAUGAAGGGAUCAAGCCAUCUUCUCACAUGUAUCGCUUGAAAGCCUAUGCACUUGGUAAUGAACUACUUGUCCAAAUCCAUGGCUUGUUGAGCCAUUUGACCCCCACUUCACGAGGGCCAGUUCAGGUGGAGUGAUUAUUUUCAUAUUGCAGCUCAGGAGUUCAGUCUCUACAAGACUCCACAGAAGAAAAGAAUAUGUCAGAGAACAGAGAUUUGGCCCAAACCCUACAGGUCCGCACUGUGACCUUCCUAUUGCAGCGCAGGGAGAUCCCUUGUGGUGCCCCUUCCAUCUCAGACACUUAGGACCUUAGGCUCUGCAGCUGUGGUUCUGUAAGUGGAAGGACACUUUGCCCUGCAGGCUGGACUUGCUGCAGAGCCUUUUCUUGCUGUGGUCCCCACCCAAACUUCAUGGUUGUAAGGGUGACUCUGUAGUAUCUGGGAGAGGACACUGCCUACUUUAUGCUGGUACUACCAAGGGAGUGCUGAAGGCAGCUAGUGAGAGAAACAUAGUGCUGUUGGCGCAGUGUGACAGGCCAGGGCUGGGAUGAUGACACCCACAGAAACAAGCAAAUAGAAAGGGCGUGUUCCUUCCCUGUGUUUGCGUUUCAGUCUCUUCUAGUUCCCCAAUAGGUAGGACCUAACAGGAAUCCAGCUGGAAAAGGGAAAGAAUAUUUGCAUACUAGGAACUUCAGCACCACCAAGCAGAGUAUAGGCGGAUGGGUUUGGAGAGGAUCUGCAGUGGGCUAGUAACCAACCUUCACUGUGUGAAACUGAUCAUAGUUUGGUCUACUGAACGAUAUGUGUACAAGCAACUUGAACUGGCUUAUUUUGUUUACAAUAAAAGUAGUAUGUAUUUAUUGAAGAAAAUUUAUAAAAAGAAUGAAGUGAAAAUCACUCAUCAUCUUACCCUUUAUAGGAAAAUUUUGGUACCUCUUCUGCACUUAUUACACACAUACACUCAUACAUUCUUGUAUUUGCAAAAAAUGGGAUCAUGUUUUCCAUGUAAUUUUUGAAACUUACUUUUAUACCUAACACUCUAAUGUACUGUUAGCACAUUUAUUUGUCAUUAAAUAAUCCAAAAAUCAGUGUCAUUGUCCACAUGGGGUGUUAGUAUAUCUUUGUCUCAUAUACUAAUACAUUAUAAAGCAUUCCCUCAUUUUGGAUGUUUUAAAUAACUUGUAUUAAUAAGUUAAUACUAUGAUAAAUAUCUUUUCAAUGAUACACAAUUUUUUUUGAUAUGCUAUAUUUUGGAGAAAUACUCACAUUACUUGUAUAUGUAAGUCCCUUUGAAAAUAGGGUUGUCACAUGUAGUAAAACAAUGUCUUCAAUGACAGACCAGGUGCAAACUCCAUUCCUUCUUUUUUUCCUCCCUACCUCCCUUCCUCCCUGUCUCUUUCUUUCUUUUUCUCUCUUUCUUUUUUUGGCAAUCAUGUUAUGGUGUUAGGCUGAGCAUUACUUGGAUUACUGCAUAUUCAAAAAUGCAUGCAGGGAGAGGUUUUUUGAGUGUGGGUGGUGAUGAGAACAGCUGGGAUGGAGACGGAAGGAAAUGGCAGGGACAUUUCACAUAGAUAUAAAUGGAAUUGCUUAGCACAAAAAACUUAGGAUUUUUUGUGCUAGAAGAAUAAAUUAGAAUUGAGUGUUUCUUUUUCUUUGCAAAUAUUAAAUGCUAAAUCUUAAAACCAUCUGUACUCUUUCUGAAAGUUUAAAAUUUCAAGGUAGGUAAGUCAAAGUGAAAAAGCUGGAGUGGAGGUGGGGGGUUGCCAUUGUUGCCAAGCAACAUUGUUAAUUUAAGGUCUCUCAAUUAAGUGCCAUAAAAAACAAAUGGCCACAAUAAAUGUGUCCCAAAAGGAAGAAGGUCAGUAUCAGCUAUUUCAGGAGGAGUUUGUAGGGAGUCCCAAAUGGUCCCCAAUAAGGAUAAAAUUGUCUGUAAGUUGUUUUGUCUUUCUUUUGAAAUGCAAACCCUUAUACCUCAACUCACCAGUCCCCAAAUCAGAUGUAGUCACGGAGCUAAAAUGUAUCCUGUUCCAUUCUAUGAAGGUAAUCACAAUGAAAUGAGAGAACUAACCUCAAUGCAGAGGUUAGGAGCCUAUACCCUUAUUCAGAGGACAGAAUUCAAUGGCUAGAGACUACUAACUGGGAAGAAGGAGUCUCAUCUGCAUCUCAGUAUCAGCCUGGGGAGAGGAAGAGGAUCAGAAGGCGUGCCUGUGUUCUUGCUCCUGGAAAUGUACCAUUUAAAUUCAGAUUAUCUCUUUUCCUCUCUGCCCAAACAUCAGUUCUGCCUGUAAUUGUUGCUUGUUUGUAUAUGUGUUUUCCCCCCCGAAACAACUGAUUUGAAAUGGAGUUUGUCGAAGACAAAGAUUUGUUAUUUUUUAUGUAUUGAUUCUGGUCAAGUGGAAGUUCUGGAAUUUUAAGGAAAUGAUUCAAAAUUGUUAGCUGGGGUUCCUCCUCUACCAUGAGCUAAAGAAACUUAAUCCUUGAUUUCCUGAUGGAGAAAAAAAAUGACCCAGAACAACAUCCUCUUCUCCGACAUAAGACUGGCAAGAAUGAGAAGGCAAGCAUGGGUAAUGGUACUCAUAUCUAUGCAUUGAUUUAUAUAUAUUUUCCCAAAUGCAUGUACUUAUUCUGUUUUUGAGUAAACAUGAAAGAAUGUGAUAAUUGUGGGCCUGGAAAUAUGUAAUUGGAUUUAGACCCAGGAGGGAAGCUUUGUUACCUACCAAAAAUUUUUAGGAGGUUUUAGCUGGAGACAUUUGACAAAUCUGUGACAUGAGCAAUUGGGGGCCAAAGGGAAGCUAGAAGAACACUUACCAUAAAAGACAGACAUGUGCAAAGAACAGAGAGGUAUAGGCUUAAUGUCACCAAGAGAAAAGAGCAGAUGACGUGGGCAUGUGCCCAGGGAGAGCCACAGAGACUGGCUGUGGUCAACUCCGAGAGAGGAGAAGAGAGGGAGAAAGAAUGAGAGGGAAACAUCGAUGUGAGAGAACAUCUAUCACUUGCCUUUCAUACGUGACCAACCUGGGACUGAACCUUCAACCCAGGCACGUGCCCUGACCAGGAAUCAAACCAGUGAUGUUUC